GCAGACGGCGGAGAGCAGAGAGGGAGCGCGCCUUGGCUCGCUGGCCUUGGCGGCGGCUCCUCAGGAGAGCUGGGGCGCCCACGAGAGGAUCCCUCACCCGGGUCUCUCCUCAGGGAUGACAUCAUCCGUCCACCUCCUUGUCUUCAAGGACCACCUCCUCUCCAUGCUGAGCUGCUGCCAAGGGGCCUGCUGCCCAUCUACACCUCACGAGGGCACUAGGAGCACGGUUUCCUGGAUCCCACCAACAUACAAAGCAGCCACUCACUGACCCCCAGGACCAGGAUGGCAAAGGAUGAAGAGGACCGGAACUGACCAGCCAGCUGUCCCUCUUACCUAAAGACUUAAACCAAUGCCCUAGUGAGGGGGCAUUGGGCAUUAAGCCCUGACCUUUGCUAUGCUCAUACUUUGACUCUAUGAGUACUUUCCUAUAAGUCUUUGCUUGUGUUCACCUGCUAGCAAACUGGAGUGUUUCCCUCCCCAAGGGGGUGUCAGUCUUUGUCGACUGACUCUGUCAUCACCCUUAUGAUGUCCUGAAUGGAAGGAUCCCUUUGGGAAAUUCUCAGGAGGGGGACCUGGGCCAAGGGCUUGGCCAGCAUCCUGCUGGCAACUCCAAGGCCCUGGGUGGGCUUCUGGAAUGAGCAUGCUACUGAAUCACCAAAGGCACGCCCGACCUCUCUGAAGAUCUUCCUAUCCUUUUCUGGGGGAAUGGGGUCGAUGAGAGCAACCUCCUAGGGUUGUUGUGAGAAUUAAAUGAGAUAAAAGAGGCCUCAGGCAGGAUCUGGCAUAGAGGAGGUGAUCAGCAAAUGUUUGUUGAAAAGGUUUGACAGGUCAGUCCCUUCCCACCCCUCUUGCUUGUCUUACUUGUCUUAUUUAUUCUCCAACAGCACUCCAGGCAGCCCUUGUCCACGGGCUCUCCUUGCAUCAGGGCUAAUCUCGGGCCUUGUCGAAGGAAGAGGCUGCAGACGUUAAUGAGGUUAGCUGCUGGAUUCCAGUAUUCGUCGCAUAAGGAUCCUUCUUUGUCUGCGAAGGAAAAACACACUGAUUAUCAUAAUGAGGCACGUGGGCCGUGGCCCGGCUGGGUCGGCUGAAGAACUGCGGAUGGAAGCUGCGGAAGAGGCCCUGAUGGGGCCCACCAUCCCGGACCCAAGUCUUCUUCCUGGCGGGCCUCUCGUCUCCUUCCUGGUUUGGGCGGAAGCCAUCACCUGGAUGCCUACGUGGGAAGGGACCUCGAAUGUGGGACCCCAGCCCCUCUCCAGCUCGAAAUCCCUCCACAGCCACGGGGACACCCUGCACCUAUUCCCACGGGACAGGCUGGACCCAGAGACUCUGGACCCGGGGCCUCCCCUUGAGUAGAGACCCGCCCUCUGACUGAUGGACGCCGCUGACCUGGGGUCAGACCCGUGGGCUGGACCCCUGCCCACCCCGCAGGAACCCUGAGGCCUAGGGGAGCUGUUGAGCCUUCAGUGUCUGCAUGUGGGAAGUGGGCUCCUUCACCUACCUCACAGGGCUGUUGUGAGGGGCGCUGUGAUGCGGUUCCAAAGCACAGGGCUUGGCGCACCCCACUGUGCUCUCAAUAAAUGUGUUUCCUGUCUUAACAA
rnacentral:lncRNA from 1 species